AUCCAGACUCCUACGGGAGGCAGCAGUGGGGAAUAUUGCACAAUGGGGGAAACCCUGAUGCAGCGACGCCGCGUGAGCGAUGAAGUAUUUCGGUAUGUAAAGCUCUAUCAGCAGGGAAGAAAAUGACGGUACCUGACUAAGAAGCCCCGGCUAACUACGUGCCAGCAGCCGCGGUAAUACGUAGGGGGCAAGCGUUAUCCGGAUUUACUGGGUGUAAAGGGAGCGUAGACGGCUGUGCAAGCCAGAUGUGAAAGCCCGGGGCUCAACCCCGGGACUGCAUUUGGAACUGUGUGGCUGGAGUGUCGGAGAGGCAGGCGGAAUUCCUAGUGUAGCGGUGAAAUGCGUAGAUAUUAGGAGGAACACCAGUGGCGAAGGCGGCCUGCUGGACGAUGACUGACGUUGAGGCUCGAAAGCGUGGGGAGCAAACAGGAUUAGAUACCCGUGUA
rnacentral:rRNA from 1 species